GUAGGGAAUCUUCGGCAAUGGACGAAAGUCUGACCGAGCAACGCCGCGUGAGUGAAGAAGGUUUUCGGAUCGUAAACUCUGUUGUUAGAGAAGAACAAGGGUGAGAGUAACUGUUCACCCCUUGACGGUAUCUAACCAGAAAGCCACGGCUAACUACGUGCCA
rnacentral:rRNA from 1 species